rnacentral:ncRNA from 1 species
GCUCAAGCGUACCGCCGAAGUCGUGUCAUUCACACAAUAGGGCCAACGCCUGUGUGGAUGGGUAGGGGAGCGUCGUGUGCCGGGUGAAGCAGCCGUGUAAGCGAGUUGUGGACGGUUCACGAGUGAGAAUGCAGGCAUGAGUAGCGAUACACACGUGAGAAACGUGUGCGCCGAUUGACUAAGGGUUCCUGGGUCAAGCUGAUCUGCCCAGGGUAAGUCGGGACCUAAGGCGAGGCCGACAGGCGUAGUCGAUGGAUAACCGGUUGAUAUUCCGGUACCCGCUGUGAAGCGUCAAACAUUGAAUCCACUAAUGCUAAGGCCGUGAAGCCGCCCUGGAGCCUUCGGGCAAAGGGGAGUGGUGGAGCCGCCGGACCAAGGUGGUAGUAGGUGAGUGAUGGGGUGACGCAGGAAGGUAGUCCAGCCCGGGCGGUGGUUGUCCCGGGGUAAGGGUGUAGGCCGUGCGGUAGGUAAAUCCGUCGCACACAAGGCUGAGACCUGAUGCCGAGCCGAUUGUGGUGAAGUGGAUGAUCCUAUGCUGUCGAGAAAAGCCUCUAGCGAGUUUCAUGGCGGCCCGUACCCUAAACCGACUCAGGUGGUCAGGUAGAGAAUACCGAGGCGUUCGGGUGAACUAUGGUUAAGGAACUCGGCAAAAUGCCCCCGUAACUUCGGGAGAAGGGGGGCCAUUCUUGGUGAUCCGUUUUACACGGUGAGCUGGGGGUGGCCGCAGAGACCAGCGAGAAGCGACUGUUUACUAAAAACACAGGUCCGUGCGAAGCCGUAAGGCGAUG